GGUCCGGAGGCAUGGCAGCAGGUAGGUAGGCUAGGAAGUUGAGAUAUCACAUCUCCAUCCACAAGCAGGAAGCAGAGUUUGAGCAAGAAGUACGGUGAGUCUAUAAGCACUUAGAGCCUGCCCCCAGCAAAGCUGAACCUCCUAAAGGUUCUGAAGCACACCCCAAUCCACACACACCCCAACACACACCCCAAUACACAUACACCCCAAUUCACACACACCAAUACACACACACACCAAUACACACACCCCAAUACACACACCCCAACACACACCCCAAUACACACACACCCCAAUACACACACACCAAUACACACACCCCAAUACACACACACACCAAUCCACAAACACCCCAAUCCACAAACACACCAAUCACACACACCCCAAUACACACACGCCCCAAUCCACACACACCCCAAUACACACACACCCCAACACA
rnacentral:lncRNA from 1 species